CAUAAAGUAUGUCGUAGUCCGGAUUGGAGUCUGCAACUCGACUCCAUGAAGUCGGAAUCGCUAGUAAUCGUAGAUCAGAAUGCUACGGUGAAUACGUUCCCGGGCCUUGUACACACCGCCCGUCACACCAUGGGAGUGGGUUGCAAAAGAAGUAGGUAGCUUAACCUUCGGGAGGGCGCUUACCACUUUGUGAUUCAUGACUGGGGUGAAGUCGUAACAAGGUAACCGUAGGGGAACCUGCGGUUGGAUCACCUCCUU
rnacentral:rRNA from 1 species